rnacentral:rRNA from 1 species
UCGACGAGUGGCGCCCUUGUGCGUAACGCGUAUACAAUCUACCUUUUGCUGAGGGAUAGCCCAGAGAAAUUUGGAUUAAUACCUCAUGGUAUUAUUGAUAGGCAUCUAUUAAUAAUUAAAGGUUACGGCAAAAGAUGAGUAUGCGUCCCAUUAGCUAGUUGGUGAAGUAACGGUUCACCAAGGCAGCGAUGGGUAGGGGUCCUGAGAGGGAGAUCCCCCACACUGGUACUGAGACACGGACCAGACUCCUACGGGAGGCAGCAGUGAGGAAUAUUGGACAAUGGGCGAGAGCCUGAUCCAGCCAUGCCGCGUGCAGGAAGACUGCCCUAUGGGUUGUAAACUGCUUUUAUACAGGAAGAAUAAGCCUUACGUGUAAGGUGAUGACGGUACUGUAAGAAUAAGGACCGGCUAACUCCGUGCCAGCAGCCGCGGUAAUACGGAGGGUCCGAGCGUUAUCCGGAAUUAUUGGGUUUAAAGGGUCCGUAGGCGGAUGAUUAAGUCAGGGGUGAAAGUUUGCAGCUCAACUGUAAAAUUGCCUUUGAUACUGGUCAUCUUGAGUUGUAUUGAAGUAGGCGGAAUAUGUAGUGUAGCGGUGAAAUGCAUAGAUAUUACAUAGAACACCCAUUGCGAAGGCAGCUUACUAAGUACUAACUGACGCUGAUGGACGAAAGCGUGGGUAGCGAACAGGAUUAGAUACCCUGGUAGGCCACGCCGUUAACGAUGGAUACUACCUGUUCGGGACCUUGAGUUCUGAGCGGCUAAACGAAAGUGAUAAAUAUCCCACCCUGGGAGUACCUUUCGCCAGAAUGAAACUCCAAAAGAAUUGACCGGG